CUUAUCUCCCGGAAUUCUCACGCUCCCGCGCUCUUCUCCCUCUCGUUCGCACGCCCGGCCUGCCGCCGGAACGAAGCCCUCCGCCUCCCCCUUCUCUCGCGCGAUCCAAAGCCCGGCUGGCCGCCGACCCUCUCUCACGCACAGUCUUCAUCCAGUGACAGGAAGCCCACCCCGCCUCUCACCACAUCACUGAUGUCGACUGCCACGGCGAAGCCUUCAACAUAAAAUAAAGGGGAUGGAAGAAUCGUAGGACGCAGUUUCGUGAGAUACUUGCCACAGGACGAGGCGGUGGCUCCGGACCUUGGCGCCGAUGCCGACGGAUUGGACGCGUCGGAGUCGCAGGCGGUUGUUGAUUUUCUCAAUGACGAACUUUGUCGUCUCCUCAAGGGAUUUUCUGAAAGACGGUAAUAUCUCAUUUAUAACCUAA